rnacentral:rRNA from 1 species
AUCGAACGCUGGCGGCAUGCCUAACACAUGCAAGUCGAACGGAAGAAUCGAGCUUGCUCCUGGAUUCAGCGGCGGACGGUUGAGUAAUGCCUAUGAAUCUGCCUUAUAUUGCGGGAUAACGUCCUGAUACGGGCUCUAAUACCCCAUCCGUCCUGAUGUCGAAAGUGGGUGAUCUUCGGACCUCACGCUAUCAUAUUAGCAUAGGUGGGUUUAGCUAGUUGGUGGGGUAACGGGCUUCCAAGGCGACUAUCCGUAACUGGUCUGAGAGGAUGAUCAGUCACCCUGGAAGUGAGACAGGGUCGAGACUCCUGGGGGAGGCAGCAGUGGAGAAUAUUAGACAAUGGGGGAGAGCCUGAUACAGGAAUGUCGGGUGUGUGAAGAACGUGUUAGGACGGGAAAGCAAUGUAAGUUGGGGGGAAGGGAAGUAAGUUAAUACGUUGCUGUUUUGACGGUACCAGGAGAAUAAGCACCGGCUAACUCCGUG